rnacentral:rRNA from 1 species
CCUACGGGAGGCAGCAGUGGGGAAUAUUGGACAAUGGGCGCAAGCCUGAUCCAGCCAUGCCGCGUGAGUGAUGAAGGCCCUAGGGUUGUAAAGCUCUUUUGUGCGGGAAGAUAAUGACGGUACCGCAAGAAUAAGCCCCGGCUAACUUCGUGCCAGCAGCCGCGGUAAUACGAAGGGGGCUAGCGUUGCUCGGAAUCACUGGGCGUAAAGGGUGCGUAGGCGGGUCUUUAAGUCAGGGGUGAAAUCCUGGAGCUCAACUCCAGAACUGCCUUUGAUACUGAAGAUCUUGAGUUCGGGAGAGGUGAGUGGAACUGCGAGUGUAGAGGUGAAAUUCGUAGAUAUUCGCAAGAACACCAGUGGCGAAGGCGGCUCACUGGCCCGAUACUGACGCUGAGGCACGAAAGCGUGGGGAGCAAACAGGAUUAGAUACCCUGGUAGU